CCUACGGGUGGCAGCAGUGGGGAAUAUUGGGCAAUGGGCGCAAGCCUGACCCAGCAACGCCGCGUGAAGGAAGAAGGCCCUCGGGUUGUAAACUUCUUUUGUCAGGGACGAAACAAAUGAUGGUACCUGACGAAUAAGCCACGGCUAACUACGUGCCAGCAGCCGCGGUAAUACGUAGGUGGCAAGCGUUAUCCGGAUUUACUGGGUGUAAAGGGCGUGUAGGCGGGAGAGCAAGUCAGAUGUGAAAUUCCAGGGCUCAACCCUGGAACUGCAUUUGAAACUGUUUUUCUUGAGUGAUGGAGAGGCAGGCGGAAUGCCGUGUGUAGCGGUGAAAUGCGUAGAUAUACGGAGGAACACCAGUGGCGAAGGCGGUCUGCUGGACAGCAACUGACGCUGAGGCGCGAAAGCGUGGGGAGCAAACAGGAUUAGAUACCCUUGUAGUC
rnacentral:rRNA from 1 species